rnacentral:rRNA from 1 species
AACGAACGCUGGCGGCAGGCUUAACACAUGCAAGUCGAACGCCCCGCAAGGGGAGUGGCAGACGGGUGAGUAACGCGUGGGAAUCUACCUAGUUCUACGGAACAACAGAGGGAAACUUCUGCUAAUACCGUAUACGCCCUAAGGGGGAAAGAUUUAUCGGAAUUAGAUGAGCCCGCGUAAGAUUAGCUAGUUGGUGGGGUAAUGGCCUACCAAGGCGACGAUCUUUAGCUGGUCUGAGAGGAUGAUCAGCCACACUGGGACUGAGACACGGCCCAGACUCCUACAGGAGGCAGCAGUGGGGAAUAUUGGACAAUGGGCGCAAGCCUGAUCCAGCCAUGCCGCGUGAGUGAUGAAGGCCUUAGGGUUGUAAAGCUCUUUCAGUGGGGACGAUAAUGACGGUACCCACAGAAGAAGCCCCGGCUAACUUCGUGCCAGCCGCCGCCGUAAAAC